GCCAUCCCUGGUACCUAGUCCCUACUGCCCCUGUCAUGGCACCUUUCGUUUUUUUGGUGCGCUCACCAGCUCACAGGCAGACUAUGACUAAGCCAUCUCUGAAGCUCCAGUGGAGGUGCUGAACAACUCUUGGGUGAAUCCAUAAUGAACAAAUCUAAACAGCCCUGAGGAGGGUGUGGAUGUGAGGCAACUGCACAGGGCAGAUGUGGAAUGAGAGGAGACUCGGUUUCAGAAGGUGGAGGCGGCCAGCUUCUCAGGAGGUUCAGAAGAGGUAGUCCUGUAACACCCAUCAAAGCUGCGUGAGUGGUGGCAGCCUACUGCCUAGUUCCCCUGUGGGGUGAAAAUAAUGGGAUCUUGAACACUCACUUGCAUACGGCUUUGCAGGGUGGAUGUCAAGAGUGUAGAUGGAGGCCUACAUACUAUGUAUCUGAAAACCUCAGAGUUACAAAAUAAGCCAACAACUGUUGAAUAUGGUUUGUUUUCUAUUCUAUCCUAUCCUCUUCUUUACCUUGAUAAACAUACCUUCCUAAUGGCCUGGAAGCUAAUUGGAAUUCUCAGAGUUCUUGGGAAUGUGGUGGCACAAGAACUAGACCCCGGCCCUUAGACUUCUCUUUCUACUGAUAGUAAGCAGAACAAGGCCCUUCCAGUGUCCAUACCCUAAUCCUGAGAACCUAUGAAUAUAUUUGUUGAGAGCCACAGCCAAGUCGGAAUGGCCGCUGGCAUUUUGCCAGAAGGAAUGGUUUCGAGGUGACCCCAGGGAGCCAUUAAGAUGAUGGUAAUUAAGUUAAGCUGUGUAUAAUUGCUGUGAAUGGAUGAUGCUGGAUUGAAACAGGCUGUGUAUUAAUUUGUAGAUAGACCCCUGCUGUCCGGCAAUAGGGCGGCUCCUGCUGCCUCACUACUUUUGAGUUCUCGAGGAGUUCCCAGUUGAGUUCCGGUUGAGCUCUCGGGGAUUCCUGGAGAGUUCGAGUUGGUUGGUGAAGUUCCGGUGGAGGGAGUUCCGUUUGGUGUGUGGUGUUCCUGGGAAUUUGGGCAAUAAAGGAGUUCCUGUUUGAACCUACAAGUGCCUCAUGGCGGCUCCAUUAUUUUGUGCCCAGCCAGACUGCGGCAUAUAUUAUCUUAAUAUGACAAGGGAGAUUAAAAUUCCUAGUCAUCUAACCCACAAAACAGGGAGAUUAUCCUGGAUUAUCAAAUGGGCUCAAUGUAAUCACAAAGAUCUAAAAGUGAAAAGAGGGAACAG
rnacentral:lncRNA from 1 species